CCAGGGAUUGAACUCAGGUCCUUGCGCUUGCAAGGCAGGCAGUGGAACCACUGAGCUAAAUCCCCGGCCCAAUAAAUUCUCUUUUGCAACCCAGAACUCAUUGUUCAGUAUGAGUCUGAUACACAUAAGAAGGAAUAUU
rnacentral:snoRNA from 1 species